rnacentral:rRNA from 1 species
AACGAACGCUGGCGGCAUGCCUAACACAUGCAAGUCGAACGAGACCUUCGGGUCUAGUGGCGCACGGGUGCGUAACGCGUGGGAACCUGCCUUUAGGUUCGGAAUAACUUCCCGAAAGGGAUGCUAAUACCGAAUAAUGUCUUCGGACCAAAGAUUUAUCGCCUUUAGAUGGGCCCGCGUUGGAUUAGCUAGUUGGUGGG